UACGAAGGGGGCUAGCGUUGUUCGGAAUUACUGGGCGUAAAGCGCGCGCAGGCGGUCUUCCAAGUCAGUGGUGAAAGCCCGGAGCUCAACUCCGGGACUGCCAUUGAAACUGUGAGACUUGAGGAUGAGAGAGGUGAGUGGAAUUCCCAGUGUAGAGGUGAAAUUCGUAGAUAUUGGGAAGAACACCGGUGGCGAAGGCGGCUCACUGGCUCAUUUCUGACGCUCAGGCGCGACAGCGUGGGGAUCAAACAGG
rnacentral:rRNA from 1 species